UUAUUAAAAACAUGGCUUGUUGAUUAUAAUUUCAAGUYUAGUYUGCCCAAUGAGGAGUUUAAUGGCCGCGGUAUAUUGACCGUGCAAAGGUAGCAUAAUCAUUAGUUUUUUAAUUGAAAGCUUGUAUGAAAGGCUAAAUGAAAAAAAUACUGUCUCUGUGAAAGUUAAUUAGAAUUUUAUUUUUGAGUAAAAAAGCUUAAAUAUGUAUAGAAGACGAGAAGACCCUAUAGAGUUUUAUAAUUAAUUUAAUAGGUGGGUUUAGGAUGAAAUUUUGUUUAUUAGAGAAUUUAUUUUUUUGGGGUGAAAGAAAAAUUAAGUAAACUUUUUUUUAAAGGUAAACAUUAAUUUAUGAAUUUUUGAUCCUAUAUUUUGGAUUAUAAGAAUAAAUUACCUUAGGGAUAACAGCGUAAUUUUUUUUAAAGUUCUUAUUGAAAAAAAAGUUUGCGACCUCGAUGUUGGAUUAAAUUUUAUUUUUGGUGAAGGCGCUGGAAUAUUAGGUCUGUUCRACCUUUAAAAUUUUACAUGAUCUGAGUUUAAACCGGUGUAAGCCAGGUCGGUUUCUAUCWA
rnacentral:rRNA from 1 species